GACGAACGCUGGCGGCGUGCUUAACACAUGCAAGUCGAACGGAAAGGCCCUGCUUUUGUGGGGUGCUCGAGUGGCGAACGGGUGAGUAACACGUGAGUAACCUGCCCUUGACUUUGGGAUAACUUCAGGAAACUGGGGCUAUUACCGGAUAGGACCUCCUGCUCCUUGGUGGGGGUUGGAAAGUUUCGGCGGUUGGGGAUGGACUCGCGGCUUAUCAGCUUGUUGGUGGGGUAGUGGCUUACCAAGGCUUUGACGGGUAGCCGGCCUGAGAGGGUGACCGGCCACAUUGGGACUGAGAUACGGCCCAGACUCCAACGGGAGGCAGCAGUGGGGAAUAUUGCACAAUGGGCGGAAGCCUGAUGCAGCAACGCCGCGUGCGGGAUGACGGCCUUCGGGUUGUAAACCGCUUUCGCCUGUGACGAAGCGUGAGUGACGGUAAUGGGUAAAGAAGCACCGGCUAACUACGUG
rnacentral:rRNA from 1 species